UCCAGGAGGUUCUGGACAAGAGUUAAAUGGGAGAGGAAAUAAUGGAGGAGUAUAGUAGAGCACCUUGACACACUGUACAAGAAGGCAUCUUCUGAAUAUCCUGGUCCAUGGGAUACCAGUACGAAGUCAAGGAAAAAGAUAUGCACUCGGCAUUGUGACUGUUUCCUAAUCUCAGGGAUCCUUACUCCACCAAUGGCUAUGAACACUUCUACGAUGCUGGAAGAGGGACGGGCUAUCUGGCAUGGCGCCUAAAGCAACGAGUGUCGUGGCGUUUGGUCAAGAACAGCUCGGGAGCCUUGGAAUACAUGAACACCAUGAGCUUUUUAAGGAGGUAGACUUUCUAAUGAGGAGACACAGCACUCAAAAAAUCCUCCAUAGAAAUGCAUGGGGUUAGUUUGUAACGUAUGGUGUUGUCUACAUAUAUCACACCCCCCUCCGUGGCAAAACGUGGACAUGUAAAUACAUUGAGCCAAUCAUGUGGUGUGUUGUGAAGACAUUGAUUGUGCCAAUCAUGUGUUGUGAUCUUGCCGCUGGAGCAAGAUUGGUGUUGUGAAGCCUGCCGAAAGUGCCCAAAAUGCGUUGCAAUAUGGCUGCUGAGUGGAGGGACUUACCUAAAAGGACUUUGGGUAUACCCACAUGUAACAUCACUUCAUGGUGCAUUAUCGGUCUUGCUUAUGGAAAAUUGGCCCAUUAUUGCACAUCUCUAGUAAUAGGUUUGAAGCAAAACACAAGUUUGUGAAAUUGUAAAAAAACUCUUGAUUAUAUUGUUUUAUUUCUUGUUUAUGAAAUGUUUACUCAGUGUUGCAGAGCAUUUUCAUGCAUAUGUGGUUAUGGAUUGUGAGGAACAUUGUUUUAUUGUUAAAGUCAAUGAUUUGUAUGAGUAUAAGGCCUUUGCUCAACAAAAUGCUUAUGGACCAAACUUUGACAUAUAUAUAUUGUACCUCUGCACAUUGAUUUGAGCCA